UUUAGCUCAGUGGCAUAAGUGCCUGCCUUGGAAGCAUGUGAUCAUGAGUUUGAGCCUCAUAA
rnacentral:tRNA from 1 species